rnacentral:rRNA from 1 species
GAUGAACGCUGGCGGCGUGCUUAACACAUGCAAGUCGAACGGUGAAGGCGGAGCUUGCUCUGCUGGAUCAGUGGCGAACGGGUGAGUAACACGUGAGCAAUCUGCCCCUGACUCUGGGAUAAGCGCUGGAAACGGCGUCUAAUACUGGAUACGAGCUGCGAAGGCAUCUUCAGCAGCUGGAAAGAAUUUCGGUCAGGGAUGGGCUCGCGGCCUAUCAGCUUGUUGGUGAGGUAAUGGCUCACCAAGGCGUCGACGGGUAGCCGGCCUGAGAGGGUGACCGGCCACACUGGGACUGAGACACGGCCCAGACUCCUACGGGAGGCAGCAGUGGGGAAUAUUGCACAAUGGGCGAAAGCCUGAUGCAGCAACGCCGCGUGAGGGACGACGGCCUUCGGGUUGUAAACCUCUUUUAGCAGGGAAGAAGCGAAAGUGACGGUACCUGCAGAAAAAGCGCCGGCUAACUACGUG